rnacentral:piRNA from 1 species
AAGGCUCCUUCAAGUAUGCCUGGGUCUUGG